AGGUGUCAAUCGAAGACCUCACUAGUGACAUAAAAUCCAGAAGUGGUAUCCUCUGUCUGCUUGGUACUGAUUUCCCCGUCUCAUUUACUCAUUAACUUGGUCACCCUUUAUGAAGUCCCGUAUGUCUUGGACUUUGUUCGAGAACAAAAACUAUUUACUCCCAAGCAGAGAGCCCAACCAAUCCUUCAUGGUGAGACGUGCUAUGGAACCGCCACAUGCAGUGACCAGCACUCCAUGCCAAAAGAGCUCCCUGCCCAGCACUUGCCCACAGAACCAGGCACUGAGCUUGUCUAAAAUCAUAGGGAGAAACGAAAACACUUCAAGAUCAUAGAAAACCAUGCUAAAAAUCAGCUGCAGAAGAAACACCAAGAAGAGGCCAUCCCAACACUGAGAGAUAUUCCUAAGAGAGACUGAAACCAGAGGUUCUUUCUUGUAGCUGGACACUGACACUGAAUUAUAUGUGACUGUACUAACACCAAGUAUUUACUUCUAACUUUUUGACAAUAAUUUAGCUCAUAAUUACUUUUACUAACUUUUCCAUUAAUAAAAAAAAUUGAGAUGCAAA
rnacentral:lncRNA from 1 species